rnacentral:rRNA from 1 species
UACGUAGGGUGCAAGCGUUAAUCGGAAUUACUGGGCGUAAAGAGUUGCGUAGGCGGCAUAGUAAGUAGGGCGUGAAAGCGUGUGGCUCAACCAUAUACACAUGUCCUAAACUGCUAAGCUAGAAUAUAGAAGAGGUAGCUGGAAUUCCUAGUGUAGGAGUGAAAUCCGUAGAUAUUAGGAGGAACACCGAUGGCGUAGGCAGGCUACUGGUCUAUUAUUGACGCUAAGGCACGAAAGCGUGGGGAGCAAACGGG